UCUACAGCAGGGCUGGUGGGGUUACUGUGUGUAGUAGUAAGGAUGCUGCUUGUGUUAUACCUGGACGUUUCAAGGUUACUAACAAUGGAUCCACUCCACAAGGACCUGAGCCGCAGGACUACCUGGCCUGAUCACUCCUUGCUGUCCCCCGUCCACCUGGUCGUGCUGCUGCUCCAGUUUAAACUGUUCUGCCUGCGGCUAUGGAACCCUGACCUGUUCACCGGACGUGCUACCUGUCCCAGACCUGCUGUUUUCAACUCUCUAGAGACAGCAGGAGCGGUAGAGAUACUCUCAAUGAUCAGCUAUGAAAAGCCAACUGACAUUUACUCCUGAGGUACUGACUUGCUGCACCCUCAACAACCACUGUGAUUAUUAUUAUUUGACCAUGCUGGUCAUCUAUGAACAUUUGAACAUCUUGUCCAUGUUCUGUUAUAAUCUCCACCCGGCACAGCCAGAAGAGGACUGGCCACCCCUCAUAGCCUGGUUCCUCUCUAGGUUUCUUCCUAGGUUUGGGCCUUUCUAGGGAGUUUUUCCUAGCCACCGUGCUUCUACACCUGCAUUGCUUGCUGUUUGGGGUUUUAGGCUGGGUUUCUGUACAGCACUUUGAUAUAUCAGCUGAUGUAAGAAGGGCUAUAAUAAAUACAUUUGAUUGAUUGA